CUGGCGUCCGCGCCCGGGGCGGGGCCGCGGGUCCCAGAAGCCUCCGCUCGCGGGGCGUCUCUUGCUCGCUCCCGACAGCUGCGAUGACCAGGCCGCUGCGAGCUGGCCCUGCAGCGCGUAAGCGGUGACCGGUGCGGGCCCCUUCCCUCACGGUGCUGUCCCUUGCGUAGGACUUGGCCUCCUGCCGGCCGCCCGGAACUCCUCUUCGCCGGGUGUCCGAGUCCCGGUGUCUGCGGUUGGGGACUCAGAGUUGGGGCCGCUGCGUUCCGCUCCUCGGGUCCCGUUUGGACGGACCUGGGGUUCGGGCGCUGAUUGUCCCGGGAGGCGUUGGUCAGUGUCCUGAGCGUUUUGGAGCUCAGUCGUGGAGGGGCGCCCCAGGGGGCUGCAGAGGGAGGCCUGAGGGCUGCUAUGCACCCGCCGCGCCCGGACAGCGUCCCUGGCCUGGCCUCGAGCUGGGCAAGAGACCCAACAAUUAGAUGAUUGCAAUGGAAACAAAAACUGACUUCAGCCUACUUCACCCCAGUGAGUUUGCUGGGCUCUCCAAAUCCUGUUUGGCUGAUGGUGAGGUCACUCCCAGAUACCACUGGGAGUGUCUUGGAAGAUUACUAACUCAGAACCACCCAGUACUGAAGGGAAGUGGUGACAGGCUGGCCAAGCGGCACAGAGAGACAAAGCCAGACACAUUCAGUCUUUGUUUCAGUGAGCUCUCUGCUUGGCCUGGGAAAGCAGUAGAAGAUGGCCCAAGUCUUUGGGUCCCUGAACCCGCGUGGGAGACCUGGAAGAAGCUCCCGGCUCCUGGCUUCAGAUUGUCCCAGCUCUGGCUGUUGUGGCUAAUUGCUCUGGAAACUGGAUCACUUGAAACUCUUCACUUACACAUCAGAAAUCGCAGCAGUCGUGGUAAAAAUCCUUGUCCUCAGACGUCUUUCCUACGGGAGACGGUCCUCUGACAGUGAGAAGCGGGCACGCCUUGUCACUGCUCUCCCUAGCAGGUGUCGCAGGGGUGAUUCCUGCUGGACCCCGCAGACUGUCACUGCAGUGCCCAGAAAAGCAGGGCAGUGUGCACGAGUGGCUCCCGCGGUGUAGACUACCACGAGCUGGUUCUUCAGCAUCGCGUUUGUGCUGUGGUGUUCCCGCUAGAUGGCAGAGCACAGCUCCGUGCCCUGUUCUGUGACUGCGAACACCAGUGUGUUCAGAGGGAAGUCUUUUGUCACCACUGCACCCAGCAACCAAAACUUACCUCAGAUAUUCCUGUGGAGGAGAGCGUUUGGCAUAGCGGGGGGUAAAGGUAGGUUAAGUUUCCACUUGGAACAGCCAUAUCCCAUAUUGGAGAGCUUAGCCGGAACCAGGCUCCUCCACUUCUGAUUCAACUUCCUGCUCAUGCACAUCCUGGGAGGGGGCGUGCAUUCAUUGUGUACGCGAGUCGUUCAGUCCCUGCCACCCACGUGGGAGAUGGGAUUGAGUCCCAAGCUUCUGGUUUCAGCCUGGCCCAGUCCUAGCUCUUGUAGGCAUUUGGGGAGUAAAACCUGUGGAUAGAAGAAUCCCUCUUUAUCUUUCUCUCUGCCUCUCAGAUGAAAUGAAAACGAGUACUUUUAAAAAUACAUUCUUGUGGGGCCAGCGCUGUGGCCAAGUGGGUUAACGCCCUGGCCUGAAGCGCUGGCAUCCCAUAUGGGCACCGGUUCGAGACCUGGCUGCUCCACUUCCUGUCCAGCUCUCUGCUAUGGCCUGGGAAAGCAGUAGAAGAUGGCCCGAGUCCUUGGGCCCCUGCACCCACGUGGGAGACCGGGAGGAAGCUCCUGGCUUCGGAUUGGCACAGUUCCGGCCAUUGCAGCCAUCUGGAGAGUGAACCAUCAGAUGGAAGACCUCUCUCUCUCUCUUUCUCUCUCUGCCUCUCCUCUCUCUGUGUAACUCUGACUUUCAAAUAAAUAAAUAAAUCUUCAAAAAUACUUUCUUGUGACAAUAAGCAUGGCCUGUGUAACUUGGGACUAAUACUAAAUGCCCAACCAACAAGAGCUUCAGAGACAACACAACCCUAUGUGAUGUGUGCAUUUUGAUUAGGUCCCGAGUUGUUGCUGUUUUUCAUCACAGCUAUGAAGGACAUCCUUGGGAGAAUUACAGAAUUUGGAUUGGGGCUGCAUACUAGUAAUUAGGGCAUUAAAAAACAGUUGUUUUUUUUUUUACACGUCACAAUGGCUUUGUUGUAAUAAGGGAGACUAUCUUUGUCCGUGAGUGCUGUUCAAGGAAGUCUUUAGGGACUGCGUCCUGACAUCAACCAUUUACUUUUCUUUUCUCUUUUUAAAUUUUUUUCUGUUGUUUUCUUUAUUAUUCUUAUAUGUGUUAUUAGCCAUUUACUUUUAACGGUACAGAAAUGAAAAAAGGAGAACAAAAAAUAAGAACAAUAAAGAAGAAUGUUGAUAAUAGUUAAAUGUAGAUUGUAGGUUUGUUUUGUUUUUGUUUUUUGUUUUGUUUUGUUUUGACAGGCAGAGUGGACAGUGAGAGAGAGAGACAGAGAGAAAGGUCUUCCUUUAGCCGUUGGUUCACCCUCCAAUGGCCGCCGCGGCCAGCGCACCGCGCUGAUCCAAAGCCAGGAGCCAGGUACUUCUCCUGGUCUCCCAUGGGGUGCAGGGCCCAAGGACUUGGGCCAUCCUCCACUGCACUCCCUGGCCACAGCAGAGAUCUGGCCUGGAAGAGGGGCAACUGGGACAGAAUCCAGCGCCCCGACCGGGACUAGAACCCGGUGUGCUGGCGCCACUAGGCAGAGGAUUAGCCUAUUGAGCCGCGGCACUGGCCAGAUUGUAGGUUUAAGGGCGCUCAUUGUUCUUUCAACUUUUCUAGAUGUUUUGAAAAAAUUUCCGAAUAAAAAGGAAAAAAAUGUAGUUAUUUCUUCCUUCCCUGUUAGAAACAAGUUAUGAUUAUGUAAUUCCCCAAAGAGAAUCUGUUCCCAAAUAUGAAUUAGAAGCUGGAGAUCACACAAAUAUGAGAAAUUUUCAGAAGAGAUUGUGUUGUUUUUCUUUUGAAUCUAAGUUGCAUCACUCAGGAGUAAACUCCGGUCUGAGGCAACACUGUUGGUGAGCUUUGCCACACAAUUAUCGAGUGCUUGUUUGCCUGAGCUCCGUUUUACCGGCACAGUUCCCUUUGCCAGAGGAAGUGGAUCGUCCUAGUUCCCAGAAAGGCACCACCACGCAGAUGGCCUGCAUAAAUGUUGACAGCACUGCACACCUGGGGGUGGGGAGCCAGGUCCAAGGCAACCACAAGAGGCAGUUGCACCUGGAGAGUUUACAGUCUUAUCAGAAAGCGAAACACGAUGAAGCUGAAGAGCACAGAACAAUCUAGAAACUACAGAUUGAAACAGUACAGUUCUAGAAGGGGUUAGAAGGAGAGGGAGGCUGUCAGGAACAUAGGUGUAUGAACAAAGCUGCUGCGAAGACCGCGUAGGUCGGGCGUUUCUUCAAGUCCAAGUUGAUUCAGGUGCCCCGGCUGGGAUCUCCUGUUGCUGACCACGUUUCAGUUAGGGCAUUGUUUCCCUGAAGCUGAAGCCCAGGAGCAACCGUGGGUCCCCAGGUGUGGAGGAACUGUCUCUAUGACUGCUUCCAUCAGGUGCACAAAGCCCCAGGGGUAAAGAGAGCAUUGAAGAUGCCCGAUAAAUGCGGAAUGUCCACACGUCACAGUCUUCUGCAAGUGUGACACCUGUGGUUCCUCACUGGCGGAUCUAAGGUGGUGAUAUCUAUUUUCUUAAAGAUGCCAGAGAAACUGGUUGAUCCCCUAAAAAGUCAUGGUUGAUUCAUGUAAGAAUCAAGAAUUUUUGUAGCUACUAUGACAGACUUAUUGAAAGAGUUUUUCCCAUAUGGUGGCAAUUCUUUGAAAUUUUUAUUUUUUCAAGGUUUUUUUUUCUUGUUGCUUUAAGUUACUAUGUCUUUCCUUUAAAGACUUAUUUUUUUAUUUAUUUGAAAGGCUGAGUUGUAGAGGCAGAGAGAGAGAGAGAGAGAGAAGGUCUUCCAUCUGCUGGUUCACUCCCUAGAUGGCUGCAACAGCCAGAGCUGCACCGAUCCAAAGCCUUGAACCAGGAGCUUCUUCCAGGUCUCCCACACAGGUACAGGUGCCUAAAGACUUGGGCCAUCUUCUACUGCUUUCCCAGGCCACAGCAGAGAGCGGGAUUGGAAAUGGAGCAUCCAGGACUCAAGCCGCCACCCAUAUGGGAUACUGACACUGUAGGCAAUGGCUUUACCUGCUACUCCACAGCGCCGGCCCCAAUUUUUUCAAAUAUAAAAUAUAUUGAUAUACCACCAUUUUUAAAAAAGAUUUAUUUUAUUUGAAAGGCAAAGUUACACACACACACACACACACACACACACCCAGAGAGAGAGAAAGAGAGAGAGAGAGAAAGAGAGAAUCUUCCAUCCACUAGUUCACUCCCCAAAUGGCUGCAAUGGUUGGAGCUGGCCCAGAUUGAAGCUGGGAGCCAGGAACUUCCCCCAGGUUUCCCGUGAGUAUAGAGGUCCAAGCACUUGGGCCAUCCUCCACUGCUUUCCCAGGCACAGUAGCAGGGAGCUGGAUCAGAAAGGAAGCAGCCAUAUGGGCCCAUAUAAGCUGGAUUGGAAGUGGAGCAUCUGGGACUCAACCUGGUACCCAUAGGAUGCAGGCACUAGAGGCCAUGGCUUUACCCACUACACCAGGCGCUGGCCCCUACUAGUAUGGUUUUAAUGACCUGUGAGUACUUUAAAAUUUAUUGUAUAUGAGUGAAAUGUUCAUUUUCCAUUCAAUUAUUGUUUAUAGCUGCUGUCCAUAUUCCCCUAAACUAGGAUCGUUUUGCCUUUUACAUGUUAAACUUCUUAUUCAAUGAAGUAUUAAGCCUUUUUACUGUAAUGCGAGUUUGAAAUAUGUUAUCUCAAAAACUAAAAAAAGGGACAGAAAGAGGGA